GACGAACGCUGGCGGCGUGCUUAACACAUGCAAGUCGAACGGAAAGGCCUCUUUCGGGGGGUACUCGAGUGGCGAACGGGUGAGUAACACGUGAGUAACCUGCCCUUGACUUUGGGAUAACUUCAGGAAACUGGGGCUAAUACCUGAUAGGAGCUCCUGCUGCAUGGUGGGGGUUGGAAAGUUUCGGCGGUUGGGGUUGGGCUCGCGGCGUAUCAGCUUGUUAGUGGGGUAGUGGCUUACCAAGGCGUUGACGGGAAGGCGGGCUGUGAGGGUGACCGGCCACCUAGGGUCUGAGGUACGGCCCAGAUUGCUACGGGAGGCAGCCGUGGGAAAUAUUGCACAAUGAGUGGAAGCAUGAUGCAGCAGCGCCUUGUGCGGGAUGACGGCCUUAGGGUUGAAAACCGCAUUCGCUCGUGACGAAGCUUUGUGUGACGGUAGUGGGUAAAGAAGCACCGGCUAACUACGUG
rnacentral:rRNA from 1 species